GAGAAGCCCACACUGUGCCCUUUGUUUGGUGAUUGGCGCUCUGUGCAUGUUUGUGACUUUGGUGGGCCCAGAGGCUUGGGAUCCUUACUACUCCAACAUGCUCAUGAAACUGUUUUCCCUGAAGCCCGUCUAAGUUAAUUAGAAGAAAAACAAGAACUAUGAAAACCCCAGGCCCCAAACCCUCGCCUGCCAGCUUCCCAGUGGAUCUUGGAAACAAACUAUAUCUCUGAUUAGCCACCCCAAGUUCACUCCCAGUUGGAAGAUGAGUGUAGAAGAGGCAUUUGCAUGAAACAGCAGGGAGAGGACAGGUUUAACACCUGACAGAAUCAUUGUAAGGUCCACUAAGGUAAUGUAUAUGAAAACACGUGUGAGAGAGCAGUCAAAAGGACUGGCACCAGAACCUCUGCUGAAAACAGCAGGUGCUAAGCAACCCAUAAUCUCUAAAGAAAGUUGCCAGCAACUGGAGUAAGAUUCUUCCACCUCCAGGGCUCCCAAAGGAGCAGGGCCAUUACCAUCACCACCUUCCAGUCCACAUAGAUAGACAAAUGGGAAUAGAGAGAGAAGGAGAUACUGGGGGAAGAAUUUACAUCUGUCCCCCUGAUUGUUACUCUCCUCGUGAGCCAAGUUGAGGGAGCCAUCAGAAUCACUUACCAAGAAUGCAGGUUGGGGUGCCCACAGGAGGUAGGAGUUGGGGUGUUAUAUAUUUGGAUGUUUGCUGAGAUGUUGAAACUCUCGGCCCCCUUUGGGAUUUGGUGCUGUGGGUUUGGUGGUGGGGUUUUGAGGAGAGUAUGACUUAUGUCCAGGAGGCUCAGACAAGUGGGGAAGAGAAGGGCUGUGCCUGAUGUGGGUGGGAUCUGUCUCAGUCUGUUUCCUGCUACUAUAAUAGAAUACCAGACCGACUGAAUUAUAAUCAAAAGAAGUUUAUUUAUCUCUCAGCUUGGAGACUGUGCAGCCUUAGCCUGAGGGCCUGCAUGUGGAGAGGGCUUUCUUUCUGCAGUAUGACGUGGUGAAAGGAAGAAACUGAGAAUCCCAGUGUCCUCAAAUGGCUGAGCAUGUGAUGUUAUCCAGGAGCCCCCCCAUGAAGCCAGCCCUGCCCAGGUAGAUCUGCUACUACAGGACACCUUUGAGCAGGGGACCAGUGUGCAUGGUUAGGGAUGUGUGAGCAGGGACAGGGCUUGGACCUCAUCAGCAACUCAACGACCGGAAACAGGCAGCACACCCCAGGGAAGGCUACCUCUCCCUGGUUACUUAGCACCUCCUGCCUGCUCCCAACCCCAUCGCCCCAGGACCAGUGCUGAGUCUGCUUCAAAGGUGAGGCCCACACUAGUUGGUUGGGUCCCUGUGCCUUCCUCAUCAGGUGGGGAGGGAAAGGCAUCAGGAUCAAGUGUGAGAAAGGAACGUGGGGAAGGAUCCCACCUUGGAUUCAGGUAGACCUCAAUUCACACUCCACCCUAUUCCUCACUAGUCUGGGCAGCAACUAGGCUGUGUCAGCCCCUGUUUCCUCGCAUGUAAAACAAGAGUAAAAAUAUCCUUUAUAGAUUAUAGGUUGUUGUAAGAAUUCAGUCAAUUUAUGCAACAUGUUAGACAUAGUAAAGCACACGCAGCUGGAUUUGCGUCAAAGGAAUGUGUCUUACUCAUCCUUUUAUUUCUUCCCAUCCACUGUUCCUCUUGUGCUAGCUCACUGCCUUAUGUCUAGUAAUAGGUGCUAAUUACUAGUUCCCUGAGUAGGUGAGGAGCUAUUUAGUGUCCUUUAAAAGACAGUUUCUCAAAGUGUGGUGCUGGGGCCUGUGGCAUUGGCGUCAGUUGAACACUUGUUAGAUGUGCAGGAACUUGAAGCCCAUCUCAGAUCUGCUGAAAAGAAUGUCCAUGUUAUCAAACUUCUCAGGUGACUCCUAUGCACAUUAAAGUUUGAGAAGCUUUGCUUUAGAAAGAAUCAUUUGAAGCUGGGGUAGCUUAAAACUCCCAUUAAGGUAGUGAGCACCAUGGGGAAUUCAUAUUGGAGAAGGUGACACCAACUCGAUACGUGUGAUAUAUAUCCCUCCUCCCCUCUUGCUGAUCUGGAAGUGGUUUUCUGCCUCCAUGGAAACCCAAAGGACUUAGAAUUACUUCCCUGAGAUCCAUAAUGGGAACAGAGCCAGCUUCUCAUGGACCCCUGUGCAUGUGUGUUGCAGAGGAGGCCUGAGGUCUGGCCAGCAUCUCUGGCUUUCUGUUGCUGGCCCUAUCUCAGCAGUGGAGCACAGUCUAUAAGGAAGAACCCAGGUAACUUUAAAGUCCUUCUGUUUCUAGGUGUGGAGGUUGGGCAGAACUGUCCUAGGUCUCUUAUACCUUUGGGAUGUUUUCCAUGACUUCCAGCAGGGCUGUGGAAUUACUUAAAACUCACUAACUUUUCAAAAGUGUACCUGGCCUGGCUUUUUGACAAGGAGGACAACAUUGGACAUUCUCUUGUGUGGGGCAGACUCUACAACAGCUUAAACAGGUCCUGAGGAUGCAGUAAUGAUGGGCACAGCGCUCCCUGGAGUCACUCUCACCCCAGCAGGGAGAGAGAUGCAGGCAGAUAAUGAAAGAGCAACAAGUCAGGUGCCUCAGAAGAGCCAUCAGCAAGGGGUUUGGCGCCAAGUGUUAAGGACUCACAAUCUCAGCACAGGAGAGAAGAAAGGGACAAAAAAAAGAAGAGGCAACUUGAGAAUCUUGACUGGGUCCUGGUGUGAAAAAUGCCACAAAUAAGAUUCUUGACACAAUUGGGGAAAUUAGGAUAUGAACUGGAUAUUGGACAAUGUAAAAUUAUUUUUUAAUUUUCUUAUGCAAUGAUACUGGGGCUAUGUAAGAAAAUGUCCUUAUUAAAAGAUGAAGGCCGAUGUAGAAAUAUUUAACACUAAGUUAUUGUGAUAUCCACAACUUUCAAACAGAAUAUGUAGAUACAUGUGUGACUCUCUCCCUCUCCCUUUCCUCUCAAUGGGUUCUCCAGCACAUAGACAUAAAAAUGUACACACAUGAAUAAAGCAAAUACAUCAAUGUUAACAAUUACCAAGCCUAUCUGGAGGGAGUAUGGCAGUUCACUGUAUCUUCCUUUAAACUCCUUUUGAUAUUAGAAUACUUUUGUAAUAAAACACGGGGAAACACCUUGGGAGUAGUGUGUGAAUCAGGUGAAUAUUGUAAUGAUAGGACUACUCAGUAAAUCGGUGCUUACAAAUGUUUGUUUUAUGACCAGCAGUGAAGAGUUGAAAAGUGUUUCGUAUACUCUUACUUCGUCUUCAGAACAGCCCAGGGGAGUUUCAACGAAUCACCUCAUUACUAGUGAGUCACUGAGGUCUAAAGGCCUUAGGUGAUUUUCCCAAGGCCACCUGUGGACAAGGUGGUGUAGCUGGGCCUCAGACCCAGGUCUGUAGACUCCAUACCCAGUUCUCACAUGCCCACCAAGGCCUCCCUAAGGUUUACUUCAGCUAAGCCAGGAGUUCCUGCCUAGGCCAGGAGCCCAGAGCCCAGACAGGAGGUGGAGCGUGGGAGUCUGUCCUUCCAGCCCUUGUUCUGUCCUUGGGUGCUGGCUGAUUCGGCCCUUCCUUUCGGUCUUGGCAAGGGUGAGGGGAGGCAGGCAUGGCAGGAGAAGGUGGCAGCUGGCCUUGGGCCCUCUCUCCUUGGCCUAGGCUGGAUGAGCCUAGGCAACGGCCUUGUUGAACACAGCUUGUGUGGGAAAAAUAUUUCUCACAGCUGAGAAGUACGUCUUGAGCUCACACUGAGCACAUCGUCUCCGCAAAGAUGAUGGCUCCUUCCGGCGCCAUGCCAGAGGAGGUCUUUACAGAGGUGACUCAAGUUAAAUGAGGUCAUCGGGGGUGGACCCCAAACCAACAUGACUGGUGUCCUUAUAAGAAGAGAAAAUAAGGACAAAGACACAGAGAAGGAGAUCGCGUGGAGACAGAGAGAAGGCGGCCAUCUGAAACCAAGGAGAGAGGUUUCUGGAGAAAUCAACCCCAGGGACACCAUGAUCUUGUGCUUCUAGCUUCUGGAAUCACAAGAAAAUAAAAUUUCUGUUGUGUAAGCCACCCAA